rfam:Triticum aestivum genome assembly, contig: Triticum_aestivum_CS42_TGACv1_scaffold_210628_3AS
GAGGUACUCCCUCCGUUCGGAAUUACUUGUCGUGGAAAUGGAUGUAUUUAGAUGUAUUUUAGUUCUAGAUACAUCCGUUUCCAAGACAAGUAAUUCCGAACGGAGGGAGUAGUAG